rnacentral:rRNA from 1 species
AUGGAUCUUGGACAUGAACUUUGGAUUUACAUUGACAAUGUCCGAGCAGACCAAAGAUUUGCCAAUUUGGAUGGCAUUGUGGAUCUUGCUAAAAAGUUGGUGGACACUAAGAAGCAUCUUGCUUUCCCUUUGGUGUAUCAACUUCUAAAGCUAGUGCUAAUUUUGCCGGUUGCCACAUCGUCAGUGGAGAGAUGCUUUUCAGCAAUGAAUAUUGUGAGGAGUGUUUUACGCAACAAAAUGGGUGACCAGUUCAUGAGUGAUUGCUUGAUUUGCUAUGUGGAGAAAGAUAUAUUUGCUACCAUUACGAAUGACGCCGUAAUUGAUCUAUUUAAGAAGAUGGGAGAUCGAGAAGGCAAGUUAUAA